CCGGCAAUUCUGUGAGCAGGUGGACAGCAGCGCUGCGGCGGCAAUUACUCUGCGUGUCUACGUGUUGACAUUGCACCUUCCCAACGCGGACUCGUGAGGCAUGCACGCCCUGCCCCGCCCUCUUCCCCUUCUUAAACACACACACACACACACACACACACACACACACACACACACACACACACACACACACACACACACACACACCGGUACCGUGAGCACAUGCAUGGGUUUGCACCCUUGAGAGCGUGUGGACACUAAUCCCCCUUGAGGUUAGGGUAGCGGGGGUUCGCGAUUUCCGGUUGGUAAGACCGGCGGCUCACCGCAGCAGGUAUGCGAGGUAGAUUCAGGUAACAUCCGUAAACCGUCGCUUUGCUGCAUCGCAUACACUGUCUUUGCGCAUUGUUUUCCUUGUGCUCUUUAACACACACACACACACACACACACACACACACACACACAGUUACACACACAGUCGCAGUUACAGAUACACACACACACAAACACACACACACACACAGUCGCAGGCACACACGCACACACACACAUUGCUAUCCACCCACCCAGCCGCCCACCUGCUCCAGGUUCUGCAGCGCCGAGGCGUCCGCCGCCACCAGCGCCAGCUGCGCGGUGGGGCUGUUGCGCGCCGCCUGCAUCUUGGUCAGCAGCUCGCCGUCGCCGCGGGCCUGCGGGCAGGCAGCGGGAAGGGGGGGGGCAGGGGGCGGGGGGCAGACAGGGGCGGGAGGGUUCAGUGUGUGGGGGCUUAGGAGGCGCGGGGGCGGCGGGGGCGGAGGGGCGGAGAGGCGGAGAGGCGGGGCGGAGAGAUUAUUAUGGUCCGAGGCAGCGCAUUGUGGUCCUCAGGAAGGGUUUUAUCGGGGGCGGUGACUGGGGAAAGGGAAUCUUCCUUGACAAGUAUGUGUCACACAUGCCACACCUGGGCCUCUGCCGCCAUGCGCGGGUGGUUGCUGUUGAACACCUGCGUGAUGAGCGGCUUCCAGAUGCGCACCCGCGCGUUGAUGAACCAGUUGUUCAGCUGUGCGGGGCGGGGGUGGGGGGUAGUGGGGUUGUAGGUAGGGGGAUGUGGGCAGGGGCAGAGUGUUCCGCGGAGUGUGAGGGGCAAGGAAGCAAGGAGUGGGAGAAGCCGAGCGGCCAAGGAAUCCACUAUCCCUUCUGCGGAAAUGGCCUGGGCAAGCUUCAAGCGCCUACAGCCAGUCUGGUGCAAGCCGCACCUCCUUGCCGCACACCCAAUUCCACGCCACCUCCCAAUCACCCCCAAGCCUAUUGCAUUGGGUUCGGUUUAGUUUGGGCAGGUAUGUCCACACACACACACACACACACACACGCCUCCCCCCACCUGCAGCAGGUCCAGCCCCGUGUGCGCGCACAACACCUCCUUCUCGUCCUCGCUGGGGUAGGGGUGCACGAUGUGUGCGUACACCCACUGCUUCAGAGCCUGGGGAGGGGGAGGGAGGAGGGAAGAGGAGGGAGGGGGAGGGGGGGAGCGGAGGAGGAGGCAGGCGGGGGAGGAAGGAUAGCCCGUGGAAUGGAAGAAAUUGAGAAGGUCAGGUGAGUCGACACAUAGGGGCAGGGCCUCCGGACGCACAGGCCAGGUGCUAACGCAAGCAGGGGACAAGCUGAAGCCCACAGAGCCUGCCGCACAGAGCCUGCCGCAACCGGUCAACCCCCUGUACUCACCGUGACGGCGUUCUUGGGCAGGUUUUCACGGCCCUUCUUGCUGCCGGGGCCCGAGCCACCGCCUCCACCGCCUCCCGCUCCGCCUCCCGCUCCCGAACCCGUCACCGCACUGGACGUCACACCAGCUCCAGCCCCUGCACCUGCCCCAGCUCCUGCCCCGCCGCCUCCACUCACACCCGCGCCAGCCGCAGCACCCCCGCCGGCGCCACCACCACUGCCUCCAGCCCCACUGCCACCACCGCCGCCGCCGCCGACACCUCCAUGCCCCGGCGCCGCUGCCACCGCCGCCGCUGUUGUUGACGCUUUGAACCCAAGGCCGCGGCCGUUGAUCAUGCGUGACGGCGCCGCCACCGACGUGCCGUACGCAAGAGCGCCGGCGGCUACUCGGCCUUGGAGCGACGUCCAGUUCAUUGCGCCGGGCCGCCCGCCGCCGGGUCCGGCGGCGCCGGCGGUGGCGCCGCCGCCACUGAGGUUACCGGCGAUGCCCAGACCACUGGCGGAGGCAGUAGCGGCGGCAAGGGAGUUGCUGGCGGCGGCGAAGCCGGCAGCGGCGUGUGGUGGCGGAGGAGCCGACGCCGCUGCCGCCGCCGUGGGCCGCGACUCCAGCGGCGGCGGCUGAGAGCUGGGGUCUUGGGCGUUGGCAAUACUGUACAGGUUUGGAUCGCCGUACGGCGCCGAUGAGUAAGGUUCAUAGCCUGGCGGCGGCGGCGGUUGGUGGUCGCCGCCUUCCCGCGGCGGAUGCUCCGUUGCCGCCGCCGUCGCCGCGGCGUUACCGUACUGUCCGUAUUGCUGCUGUUGUUGCUGCUGUUGCUGCUGUUGCUGUUGUUGGUACAAUUCGUACUGCCGCUGCUGUUGCUGGUACUGCUCGUAUUGCUGUUGCUGCUGGUGGUACUGCUCCAGUUGCAGCUGGUACUGCUGCCACUCGUACGCGGCCUUGGCCUGAGCUUCAGCAGCCGAGCUGACGUCGGCGCCGCCGCCACCAGCAGCGCCGCCGGCCCCUGCAGCAUCCGCCGCCGCCGCCGCGGCUGUCGCCAUCGCCGCCGCCGCCGCCCAUCUGGGUUGUGACCUGCGGCAACGGCAGCACGCCGCUGUGCGCAGACAUGCUACUGCGCGCGGCCGAUCGCGCGGCUGGCUGCGUCUGUGCCUGCGCCUGUGCCUGCAAAGCGGCCGCAGCAUCGGUCGCCAUCGCUGUCACUGGGUGCUGGUGGUGCUGGUGGUGUUGAUAGCCGUACUGCGGUCCGCCGCCGCCGCCACCGGUGCCGCCGUCGUCGCCGCCAGCGUCGUCAGCCAGGAGCUGCUGGAACGAGGGCACCAGCCCCGACGCCCCGGCAUGAGUCAUGGACGCGUCAUGUGUCAUGGACGCGUCAUGAGUCAUGGACGCUCCGCGGCUCGCUCUAGCCCAGCCGCCCGAGGGAGGCGGCUGGUGUGCGUAGGGGUACGGGUACGGCGGCGGCUGUUGUGGGUGGGGGCUGUGAUGGGCGGGCGGCGGCGGCGCUGCGCCCUGCGAUGCUGCUGCGACUGGGUACUGCUGGUGAUGUUGAUGUUGGUGUUGGUGGUAGUGCUGGUGCUGGUGCUGCGGCUGGCCGUGUUGCGGAUGUGGUUGGGGGUAGUGGUGGUGCGUGUGCGGCUGCUGCUCGAUCCCUGCCGGCGCCGGCACGGGCAAGUGGUAGGGCUGUCCUUCCGCCGCCGCAGCCGCCGACUGGUGUGGGUGUUGGUGAGGGUGAGGGUGGUAGGCUGGGUGGGGGUGUGGCUGCUGCUGCUGCUGUUGUUGUGGUGGCGGCGGCGGAUGCUGUUGCUGAUGUUGUGGCUGUUGCGGCUGCAGGGUCUGCUGCUGGGGCGGCGGUAAUGGCCUGUCGUGAGCGCUGUCGUGGUGUUGAUGCUGGUGGUGGUGCUGGUGGUGGAAGGGCUGGUGGGUGGGCAGCGGUGGCAGGGGGUGCGUCGCCGUCCCCACGUGGAUCGGCGGCGCCGCUGGCGCGUGCGGCGGCGGCUGUGCCUGCCGAUGGUGCUGAUAAUGGUGCUGGUGCUGCGGUGUGCUACCCGCGCCGCUCUGCGACCUUGCGCGCUGCUGGAGAUGUUGCUCCAUUGCCGCUGGCGGCGCCUGCACAGCAGGCGGCAUUGGUGCCGCCAGUGUUUCUGGCUGCCCCGCCGCCGGCCCAGGCCCCGCCGCCGCCGCCGGCACUACUGCCGAGGCCGCGGCUGCUACUGCCGCGGCCGCGGCCGCCACCGCCGACGGCACAAGGCUGGACAGCUCCUCCAGGGCUGUAGCAGCCGCCGCCGGAUCCAUGCUGUGUUCGAACAGUGCCGUCAGCGCCGCCAGCGUUGCGCUGUCGACACCGGCGGCGGAGGCGGUGGCGCCGUCAGUGGCUGAGAGCCAUGGCGGCAGCUGCGGCGGCGGCGCUGCCGCGGCAGCUGUAGCAGUUGCAGCUGCUACUAGCGGGUCCGUGUCAGCAGGCUCGGGAGCAGGGGCUGCUGCUACUGCGGUCCCCUGUGCAGCGUAGGCGGGUGCAGCUACGCCGCCCCGAUGACCAGCAGCAUCCAGACCGGCUGUAGCAGGGCUUAUUCCAUGAGGCUCAACGGCGCCGCUGCCGCCAGAGCCGCCGGCGGUGCCAGCCGUGUCGGCCUGAAGCUGCAGCGGCGGCGGAGGCGUGCCCGCUAGGAAUUCAUCCAGUGACGCCAGCAACGGCGUCGACAGCAUAUCCGCCAUCACACUGAGUCCGCCGCCGCCGCCGCCGCCGCUAACCGAAACCGGCGUGUACGGCCUGAACAGGGGCCUGCUGGCGGCGCCGCCGCCAGCGCCGCCGCCGGAGCCACCGCCACCGCCGCUGCCACUGCCGCCAUUGCUGCCACUGCCGCCGCCACUGCUCCUGAACAGGCUGCCCAGGCUGUUACCACGUGCGUCGACGCUGGCGCGGCGUCCCACCGCCGCCACGGGGACACGGCCCGUGUGCGCACCCAGCGCCGCCGCGGUGGCGGCGGCUGCCGUGCUGGAGUGCAGGACCGCGGUGCUGCCAAUGGCACCAAAGGGCAGACCGGCAGUAGCGCCGGCGGCGAGGGCGGUGCCACCGGCGGAAUCAGCGCCGGCGCCGGCAGCGCCGCCGCCGCUGCCACUGCGCGCCGCACAUGCGGCAGCGAAAGCCUCCGCUGCCGCCCAUGAUGAGAAUAUGUCUGGGGACUCGACCGGCAGUAGCGGCGUGUGGCGGCCGGACAGGCGGCGUACGACGUGGGCUACAGCCGCCGCCAUGUCGCCGCCGCCGCCGCCGAUGCCCUGCCGCAGUUGCCGGCGCAGGCUGCUACUGCCACUGCGCGGGCGGGCGCCUCCACCCGCGCCCGUAGCCUCCUGUGCUCCUCCUCCUCCUUCGCCGCCGCCGCCGCCGCCGCCAUCACGAGCAGCUAUGUUGAUGUCACCGCCAGCAGUGCUGCCCGCCGCCGCGCCGCCAUCGCUGUCUCGGCCGCCGCCGCCGCUGCUCCGCAGUAGCAUGGCCAGGAUUGGAUCCAGGAGCCCGCUGCUGUCAGUGUUGUUGCUGGCGCGGCGAUUGAUCUCGAAAUCCAAUGUGGCAAAGUCUGCGUCAUCGGGCGGUGUUACAGCCGCCACAGCAGGCGGCGGCGGCAGUAGCAAACCCGCGGGGCCGCCGGGAAGGCCAAUCUCGGCGUCUCCGCUACUGCCGGCGGCGGCCUCGGCCGAGGCCUGAGACGGCGGCGGCGCCAGCGGCAGGAAGUUGCUACAGCUGCCAGUGAGGCUGCCGCCGGCACGAUGGCAGUAGUGCUGUGCCUCUGCUACAGCCAUAGCCGCUGCGUCGGUGUCAGGCUGCCCAGCCGCCUGGCGCGCGUUAGCAGUAGCAGCGGCAACGGCAGCUGCAGCCCCUGCUGCUGCUUCCGCUGCUGCUGAAGGUAGCUGGUGGCUCCGGGUGAGCGGCGCGAAAGUGAGUGGGUACGGCACGGGCGCCGCACGUGGCGCAGCGUCAGGCAGCGGCGGCGCCGCCGCCGCCACAGCAUCCACCGCAAAGCUGUACGGCCAGGGCUGUAGCAGCUGCUGGGCGCCUGCCGUCCCUGGCGCCGCCGCUGCAGCCGCGGCGGCGGCGAUAGCAGCUGUGCCCGCCACCGCGGUGAUUGCUACUGCGCCGCCGGCGACGUGGCGGCUGCCGGAGGCAGUAGGGUCGCUGUCACGUGCAUCCAGAUUGGUACACGUGGACAUGGGCGUCAGCGGCGGUGAGGCCGGUGGCGCCGCCACGGCUGUAGCACCUCCCAGCUCCCUGUGCGACUGCGACCGCUGCUUCAUCAGCUGCGGCUGUAGCUCCUGCGGCGGUGCAAUACCGCCGCCGUGCAGCGCCGUCGAGUGCCAUCUGCCGCCGGCGUGCUGAUACUGGUGCUGCUGCUGGUAAUGCUGCGGGUAGGAUUGGUGGUAGGGCUGUUGUAGCUGCUGGCCCGGCUGUAGCAGCUGUGGCCUCAGGCCGCCGGCACCGCCACCGCUGGUGCUACUGCCGCCACCGCCGCCUGCGCCUGCAGCCCCUGCUGCCAGGGCCGUGGCAGUAGCGGAAGUCGCGGCAGUAGCAGCUGUCAUUGCGGCCCGGUGCUGUAGCAUGGCGAUGUCGGACUGGGUCUUUCGCAGGGCGGCCACCGAGGUGCUCUCAGGCGUGAUGGUCCUGGUGCGCGAUUGCGGGCCGGUGGACACACGCCUCAACACAAAACAUGCAUUUGCAAUUUCACGUCGUAAGGGAACGUGAAGGUAACAUUGCAAGCCUGGCUGUUGGCCUUGCCAAGAGGAGCCUACCACGGCCGUAGGGCAUUGAUGUGACCAGCACAGAAGCUGCGUCCUUACACCAACCCCAGCCCUCACGUGCCCGCACCUUGCCACCAGCACACGGACCAGAGGCGGCUGAGGCCACGCGUGUGCCGAGUGCGGGGGAGCCGGCGGCCCCGAGCCCGGCAACGCUGUGGGUCCAGCACCCCCGCCGCCGCUGCUACUGACGCCGCCGCCCCAAGCUACAGCCAUCGCUGGCGCGCCCGCGGGUGAUGACAACCAUUGCUGCGUCGUGGGGCUGGCCGCUGGCACGCCGCCACCUGGGCCACCACUGCCCCAGCCGCCCAUCCAUCCCUGAGGCUGCGGCGGCGGCGGCUGUUGUAGCGGUAACGGUUGCAGCUGAGGCUGGUGCUGGUGCUGGUGGUAUGAUUGCUGGGCGGGAGCCAUGUAGGGUGACAGGGCCGGUGGCGGCGGUGCUACUGCCGCCGAGGUCGGCAGCAUGUGGGCGUAGGCGGACAGGUCAGAGAAGCACCGGCCGCUCAGGCCCGGCGGCGCCGCCGUCACUGGGGAUAUGAACCAGGACUGCUGCGGCUGUAGCAGUCCAGGGUGGUGAGGCUGUAGCACCUGCUGUUGUGGCACCUGCAGCGGUAGCUGGUGGUGGUGGGGCGGCGGCGGCGGCGGCGGGUCGGCAGCUGAUGCGGCAAGGGCUGCGUGCGCUGCGGCGGCCCAAGCCAGGGUGGCGGGUGAUGCGGCGGCGGCAGGCGGUGGAGUCAGCGGCAGCGGCUGUGGCAGCGGCAGUGGGCGGCCGGCGCCAUCGCUGUUGGGCGGCUGCUGUGGCCAGUGCGCAGCCGCUGUGUGAGCUGGCGCAGAUGGAGCCUGUAGGUAGGUAAGGCAAGAGCAAUGCGUUGUAGCAGGGCAAGUCCUGAGUCGCGUGAGCUAGCAAACUCCAUGAGGCGUUGGGCAGCAGGACAACAACACUAGCAAUCCAUUAUCACGUUGUCCGGGGCUCCGUGCUUACCGUUUGCGACCCACCACCACCACCACCACCACCACCUUCAGCGCUACCACGGCUAUGUUCCAUCGCCGCCGUCGCCCCUGCAGCGCCGCCGCCGCCGCCGUCACCGGCAUUAAUGGGUUCCCCAAGGUGCAGCAGCUGCAUGGAUGUGGCGGCGGUGCUGCCGGUGCCACGGCCACGGCCCCACUCGCCGCCGCCGCCGGCUGCGCCGCCGCCACCUGUGGUGCUGCCGCGGCGUCGGCCGCCGCCACCGCCAGCACCGCCGCCGGCGCUGUGGCGGCCAUGCAUCAGCCGAGCCAUGCUGUGUGACGUGCUGUCAUCCGACGGUGUCGCGGCGACGGCAGUAGCCGCUGCAGCCGGCGGCGGAUGCAGCGGCGGCAGCGGCUGUAGCAUCACUUGCCCUGCUACGGCUGCCUUGGCGGCGACGGCUGCCAUUGACGUGGUCAGUGUCGUGCCGCCGCCGCCACCACCAUCGCCAGUGUUUCCAGAGCCGACAUCUUGGGGCUUAAGCAGCGGUGGCAGCGAUGUCGGCAGCGGCGUCACACUCCACGACUCCCCGCCCCCAUCCGCACUACCACGCUCACUCCAGGCGCCCGUGGCCAUCCCGGGGCCACCGCCGCCGCCGCUGCCACCGCUGCCACCGCCGCUCCCGCCACCGCUACCGCCACCGGCACCUGCGACAGCAGCAGCUCGGGGACCGCUGCCGUCCACACUGCCACCAGCACCCACCGCCUGAUCCGUGGCGGCGGCGCGCGUGUGGCUGCUGAGGUGUGAGUCGGGUGCUGCUGCUGCCGGCGCUGCUGCAGCCGAGCCCAGGCCGGCUGUAGCAUCCCAAGCCACAGCCGCGGCCACCACGCCCGGUGUUACCGUGGCGGCAGCUGCUGCUCCACCGGCGGCGCUCGCAGGUGCCACUGCUGCCGCCGUCUGCGCCCGCGCUGCCGCCUCGGCCUCGCAUGCGGCAGCGGCGGCGGUCAGCGUUGCAGCGACGUCUUGCGGCGGCGGCGGCAGGGGCGGCAGCGGCUGCGCGCCCGCCGCCGGCCGCCCAGCUACUGCCGCCGCCGGGCCGUAGCGGCGCUGCACGGCACUCCUGCCGCCAGCACCCCCGCCGCCACCCAUGCCCACGCCCACGCCGCCGCCAGCGCCCACGCCCGUACUGCCGUCCGGGGGCCCUGCGCUGCAGGGCGGCUGCCGUGCCCCUGGGGGCGCCGCCGCCUCUGCACCGCCCGCACGACCAUCCGGCCCCGCCGCCAGCGCUGUCAGCUCGCGUUCUGUGAGGGUGGCAGCCGAGGACAGCGGCCGCUUGCGUGUGCUGCUGGGGCUGCCCGCUGCAGCCGGCAGCGGCUGCGGCUGCUGGUGGGGAUGGGGGUGAUGUGGUGGGACUCCCCACCCACUGGCGGUGGCUACGCCGCGCAUGUCUGUGGCUGCUACUGCGCCGGUGCCGUAAGGCUGGGGCUGCGGCUGCGGGCCGAGCUGUUGGUGGAGCGAGUGAUGCGGCUGGUCCGGGUGGUGGUGGUGGUGCCGCUGAUGCUGGUGGUGGUGCUGGUGCGCGUGUGCGUGCGCGUGCCAUGCGGCGUACGGAUGCGGGCUGUGGCCGGCUGAGGCCGGCGGUUGCUGCGCACUACCGGCCCAGCCGACACCGCCAGCAGUAGCAGCUGCCGCGUACGGUGCCCAUGCAAUUGGGUGCUGCAUGUCCGAUGGCGGCAUUUGCGAUGGCGCCGGCGGAGGCUGAUUGUGGGAGCCAGGAAAGCCGUGCUGCUGCUGCUGUGGACUGGUGGGGGCGGCGGCGCUGCCGCCGAAGCGGUGGCCCGGCCCGGGCAGGUUCAGGGCGGCGGGCGCUGACACAGUCAUUACGAUUGCCGGCUCCUGCUGCUGCUGCUGCUGCUGCUGCUGCUGCUGCUGCUGCUGCUGCUGCUGCUGCUGCUGCUGCUGCUGCUGCUGCUGCUGCUGCAGCUGCUGCUGCUCAGCGCCGGGGCACCAGCCUGCAUCCGCCGCAGCAUCCGCCGGCGCCGCCGCCGCUGCCGCCGCCGCUGCGGCUGCAGCGGCGGCAGCAGCAGCCGGGUGGCUGUACUCCGCCUCCAUCCCGCCCCCUUACUUCCAACACGCUGAGCGGCACACGAGGAAUCAAGGGGGUUCCUUAAAGCAGCGCAGGCAUAUGCAGGGGCCAGCUCCUUCAAUUCAGAUUGUGCCAUGCUACAUACACCUACAGAAAUCCCCUGUAGCCGCGACGCGGCACGCGGCUUGCGCCCUCCCACCGCCCCUCACCUUCUACUUCGCUUGGAGGUCGUGGUCAGACGAGGGCCGGCGGCAGCUCCCCUUGCCUGCUGGGCCUGCCGGGCCCUCGUUCCUCACACCACAAGUAGGCCCGAGCUGCUGUGAAUGAUUGUGACUGCUGUGGCACACACUGCGCCGCAUUCCGCUAUGCGCGUGUGCGUCCCUGCCGUUCCACUGCGCGCCGCUGCUGGCUGUCGGCUGCCGUUUCGUCUCCCCACGCCGCAAGUCGUUUGCCUUGCUGGCAACUGUCAGCAGACACAGUUGCAAGCUGGCGCGCUGCUUCUACUGCUGCUGCUACUUGGGACGUCGAUAGCACAUGCUGCUUGUUGCGUUCUAUCAGUCAAGUUUGCAGGCGGGUUACGGGUUGGUGGGGAUCCCGAGAAGCUGGAAGGUGCACCCUCACACGGAUCCAGCAGAGCCCUAUGCUGCGCUACCUGCUGCUGUGCUGCGGGCCGUUCCGCCCAGGCGUGCCGCUGCGCAGACACAACAACAGGCGCUGGCGCAAAUUGAAUGCAAUACUGAAAGGUUAUGCCUACCAGGGACGCGCGGAACAAGGUUUGCGCCCGGAAGCUGUUUGGUUGCCAGUAACGGCAAACUUACAGCAAGUAAGCAAAGGCGCGCGGCCGCAGAGAGACGGGUGCAGCAAGGGCCGGUGCGGGCGCUUCGUGCGUGUGUGUUUUGCGGCGGGUUCUCGAGGCAAGAGACGCGCGCGGGAGGCCGGGCGGCAGAUCCACUCGAGGUCGGGGGCACGGGACGGGCCGAUGGGCGGCGGCGACAUUUUGUGGGACGGGCCGAUCGGGUCGGGUUCGUGGGGAGCACCGGUGUCGUGGGAGGCGCGUGCCACGCUUGCGGGUCGUCAGACGCCUUCCGGAUGGUGCAAUAGACGACAGGGACAGGACAGGCUUGGUUUCCAUGUAUACCGUAUGUGUUUGCAACGUGCACAUGUGUGCGGCCCAGCCCCACAUGGCGGCAAGGUUGGGGCACCCACAACCUGCGGAUACCCGCCAGGAGCCAGGCCCCUUUCCUCAACACGCUCCUCUCGAUGGCCUGUCAUGCGCGUUCUGAAAGACGACAGCGGGGGCUAGCUCCCAUCGGUAAUCUAAUGUCGGGCGCCAUUGUGAGAUGACUUCCAAGUUAGACACGAGUCAGGCGCCAUCAAGCGCUUAAAAGCCCCACAGCGCACUUUGGUCCGAGCUCUCUGACACAGGCGCGCCCCCGUGGCUUAUAUUUCCUCUCAACCGCCUUCAACACCAACUGCAGCCGCAUCAACUCUUCGUCGUGCACUGCACUGGCCCCCCGCCCCCUCCCCCCUCCCACACAGACAUACAUACACACACAGGCACACACACGCACACACAUCUAUGACAUAUGAGAAGACACAUGACGCACACAGGAGACCAAACGCUGUCAUCACUCACACGCUAAUUUCUUCAGCCGCAAAGAUCAUGCGAGGGAUUGUUUCCCACGCCCCAGCUCCUC
rnacentral:lncRNA from 1 species